CCAAAUUGAUUUUAUGCUUGCAUAAAUGAUUUUUGGAUUCGGAGCGAGUGGCGAACUGGUGAGUAACACGUGGGUAACCUGCCCCGAAGCGGGGGAUAACAUUUGGAAACAAGUGCUAAUACCGCAUAAUUAGUUGGAACCGCAUGGUUCCAACUUGAAAGAUGGCUCUGCUAUCACUUUGGGAUGGACCCGCGCCGUAUUAGUUAGUUGGUGAGAUAAAAGCCCACCAAGACGAUGAUACGUAGCCGACCUGAGAGGGUAAUCGGCCACAUUGGGACUGAGACACGGCCCAGACUCCUACGGGAGGCAGCAGUAGGGAAUCUUCCACAAUGGACGAAAGUCUGAUGGAGCAACGCCGCGUGAGUGAUGAAGGUUUUCGGAUCGUAAAACUCUGUUGUUAAAGAAGAACAAGUGUUAGAGUAACUGUUAACACUUUGACGGUAUUUAACCAGAAAGCCACGGCUAACUACGUGCCAGCAGCCGCGGUAAUACGUAGGUGGCAAGCGUUGUCCGGAUUUAUUGGGCGUAAAGCGAGCGCAGGCGGUUUUGUAAGUCUGCUGUGAAAGCCCUCAGCUCAACUGAGGAAGUGCAGUGGAAACUACAAAACUUGAGUACAGAAGAGGAAAGUGGAACUCCAUGUGUAGCGGUGAAAUGCGUAGAUAUAUGGAAGAACACCAGUGGCGAAGGCGGCUUUCUGGUCUGUUACUGACGCUGAGGCUCGAAAGCAUGGGUAGCGAACAGGAUUAGAUACCCUGGUAGUCCAUGCCGUAAACGAUGAAUACUAGGUGUUGGAAGGGUUUCCGCCCUUCAGUGCCGCAGCUAACGCAUUAAGUAUUCCGCCUGGGGAGUACGACCGCAAGGUUGAAACUCAAAGGAAUUGACGGGGGCCCGCACAAGUGGUGGAGCAUGUGGUUUAAUUCGAUGCUACGCGAAGAACCUUACCAGCUCUUGACAUCUUCUGCCAACCCAAGAGAUUGGGCGUUCCCUUCGGGGACAGAAUGACAGGUGGUGCAUGGUUGUCGUCAGCUCGUGUCGUGAGAUGUUGGGUUAAGUCCCGCAACGAGCGCAACCCUUAUUAUUAGUUGCCAGCAUUUAGUUGGGCACUCUAGUGAGACUGCCGGUGAUAAACCGGAGGAAGGUGGGGACGACGUCAAAUCAUCAUGCCCCUUAUGAGCUGGGCUACACACGUGCUACAAUGGAUGGUACAACGAGUCGCGAAACCGCGAGGUCAAGCUAAUCUCUUAAAGCCAUUCUCAGUUCGGAUUGCAGGCUGCAACUCGCCUGCAUGAAGUUGGAAUCACUAGUAAUCGUGGAUCAGCAUGCCACGGUGAAUACGUUCCCGGGCCUUGUACACACCGCCCGUCACACCAUGAGAGUUUGUAACACCCAAAGACGA
rnacentral:rRNA from 1 species